UUUGCCUACGGGACGCAGCAGUGAGGAAUAUUGGUCAAUGGGCGAGAGCCUGAACCAGCCAAGUCGCGUGAGGGAUGACUGCCCUAUGGGUUGUAAACCUCUUUUGUAUGGGGGGAAUAAGCUUUACGAGUAGAGUGAUGACAGUACCAUACGAAUAAGCAUCGGCUAACUCCGUGCCAGCAGCCGCGGUAAUACGGAGGAUGCGAGCGUUAUCCGGAUUUAUUGGGUUUAAAGGGUGCGUAGGCGGAUUUUUAAGUCAGCGGUAAAAUGUCCGGGCUCAACCCGGGCCGGCCGUUGAAACUGGG
rnacentral:rRNA from 1 species